CGGCGAUGUGGGGCGGCGGGAUGCUUGCUGUUAGUUGGUUGUACCCUUCACCGUGGUAAAAUCCACGAAUUCUGUUUGAAAUGAACCUUGCUCUCUUCUGGGCUCAGCCUGAGGCGUUAGAGCUAUAAGUGUGAGCUGUCUGCAGCGCUCGGGCAGCCGUGGGGAGCUCCGUCCUCCCAUCUCCUCACCUCUCCAAAAUGGCGCUGCGGGGUUUCACAGCGCUGUGCGGUGGAGGGAUGGUUGUUUUUUCCUCAUCUCCACAGAGUGCUUUGACGCGUUGCAAAACAGGCAAGAAAAAAGAUCGCCAAAAAUGUAACCAUCUGCAGAGGUCUCUGGGGCAGGAACAUUUUCUCUCCUCUUUAAAUGUGAUCAGCAGGACAAGAAGCUGAAGGUAUGACCAGAAGUCUUUCCUUCUCUUGUCGUUCAUUCACCUGAUAAAAUGAAUUUCAGCCUUCAAGCACAAAUAAAAGUGGAGCAAUACAGAUACAUCAGCCCAGAACCUCCCAGAACAUCCGACGUGUGGACUAGUACACCAGUAAAAGAUGAGGAGAUUUCCUGGUAAAUUUAUACAUUUCUUUGCUGAGAAUCCUGGAUCUCCUUUCCCUCUCAUGCACCUCAGUAUACAGCUUCCAACUCUUGUGCAUUUGCAGGCACAGGAGAUUAUUUCGUUUGGAACUGGAAAGAUUAAAACCUGGCAGAAAUGUGGCAAAACGAUCAGGAUUGCUGCUUAAAACAUCUGUCACGAAACUCAAAGAGGGUUUAAGACUGGACAGUGCAAAUCAAGUGAAAAUGUGGACGCAGCCCUGGGGAUUUGGACCUGAAUAAUACAGCCUCUUCCAUGAGCAAUACGAGUGCUGCUAUGGACAUCCAAAUCAGCCACCGCACGUGAGGAUCGGAUUAGAUUGAUAGUGGAUAUUUUUUCUGUAAGGAAGUGGAGUUCUGGCUUAAGAGAAGCAGCUGGAAAGUGUACAGAGAUGAUUCUCAUCUCAGAGAAUUACUUUCAGAGUGAUUUCCCUGGACAAUAUGUUCAAAUUAAACUGGGCAUGGAAGAAGAACACGUGCUAUUUCCAAUUAAAAAUAUCCGUAUUAAAUACCUAUGUGUACGUAAAGAUAUAUACAGAGAUACAAACGUGCUUACAUCCUGCGUGAUAUCUUAGCCUAUGCAAACGUAGGUCUGCUCACACACAACGGUUAAGCUAAGCUUACAUAUGGUGAUGAAGAGAAAAUCAUGGAAGAACUAGAAGAGUUACAGGGGUAGCAUCACCUACUCACCGGUGGUCUCGUAGUGAUGGCAGUGAAGUCUCGGUCUGCACAGCUGCCUCUCCUUGCCAACCUCCUGUGAUGUUCCAGUUGUAAUGACAGUGAGUGCCUUUCACCUUCUUUUAUACCUGCCCAAUAAUCACCACAGCACUUUGUGACUAAGACCUUUCCUCUUGUGUCAGUGGAAGGAGAGAGCUCGCUACUUCCAAUGAGAAUAAAUCUCAGAUGCUAAAAUGUUCAGCUGUGACUAAGGAGAAGAUGACGACUCUGUGGGAAGUGUGUUAUUCUUUUGCUGUCUCCUGUUUUGUUGUUGUUUGGGUGGGUUUUUUUGUUUGUUUGUUUGUUUUUUGAGACCUUUAUUCUGAUGCACUGCUAUGGAGCCCCGAGGUAAUGGAAAAGGGAUAUUCAUACUUGUUCAACAGUUGAGAUCCCUUGCUGUGUGUGCUUUGCUGUGUUCUUGGACUCAUGAAUAGGCCACAGCGUUGCACAGCUGGAAUCUAACUCAGCAAUACUGUAAGUGUGUAAUGCAAGUGAC
rnacentral:lncRNA from 1 species